rnacentral:lncRNA from 1 species
CCGUCAGCACCGGCCAGCCAACCUGAAAACAUUUGAAAGUAUUUUUGGGCUAAGUACUAAUGUACUCAGUGGGCAUGCAUUUUCAUAAACAUUUCAUAUUUUCAUAAAGACAGUUUAUCCAAUCAUAAUUUACAUAACUUAGAAGGUUUUAAAAUGAAAUAACUUCUAAGCAUGUUAAAAUAUUUUCUUUCAUUUGUGCGCACAUGUCACACUCCCUUUCUGUUACUCGCUGUGAUCCCGGACCUUUUAGCCACCGACGGAUCCAUUUUUCCCAUUGCACUUGCCCUGAGGACGUAACUCAGACAAGUUGAAUUGACCUCGGGACGCUACC